rnacentral:lncRNA from 1 species
UGCUGGACGGUAACAAUAUAAUCUACAGAAUAAAUUUCUAAUCGAAGGUGGUUCCGAUAGAGAUCCUUGCUUAACUCAGAAAACUAAGAAAUAAAAGAAAAAGAAUGAGUAUUGGGAGAGAGAUGAAAGCUUAUCCUGGAUCUCAUUUGAUCCUCUAUUUAUAGGUAAAAGUAGAAGUACUAUAAGAAAAAAGAAAAAUCAUGUUUGUUGCCUUUAUCUUAUCGAGUGAGAUACAUUGUUAUCUUAUUUCUUAUAUACUCACAACAAGUUAUUUUUACGAUUUCAGGAUUUCUUCAAUUGACAUAAAUCGGGUAACAGCAUCAAACAUAAUUUUUUUCUGAAAUAUCAGUUUGAGUCGACUCUAAAAGUAUCUUGUAUUGAUCAGAUGAAGAAUUGAUC